CCAUGAAAAUUUGUUAGUAAUCAUAUAAAGCUAACUAAAGUUAAUUUGAGCAAAAACUUUUUCAAACUUUAUUAAAUUAAAUUCAAAUUGUUUAUAUUAGUAACAAAGGCAUUUUUGAUCAAAAACUAUGAAUAUUAAAUGAGAGUAAAUUUAAUUAAAAAUUCGUAUACAGUUUGAAAUUGGUAAACAAUGCUCGGUGGACCAACUACUGAAAAGCUAAAACACUCUCUUUGAGCGCCAACAGGCAGUGCAAUGAAAAGCUCGAAAGGGGAAACAAGUACCAGUGGCCGCGCAGCCAUCUAAAGUUAAGCGACACAUGUCACCUGGCCAAAGCCAUGAACAAAAGAUGCGGGUGCUAGCUGCUGUUGCUGUUGCUGCCGCUCGCUGCCCGCUGCCUCUGCUUCAACUUCAACUGCUGCUCUUUCUUGCUCAUAUCCUGCGCGCUGUCGUGCACUUUAUGUGACAUGAUUAUGUGCAAAAGUGCAACAGGCAGACAGCAAGGCAGUCAGCCAAGCAGCCAUUCAGCCUGACCUACGCCCCAUGCACACGGCCGCUGCUCACACCUGUCGCCAUGUCAACUGGCCCUCAAGCAUCGCCAACAAGCUGCACGUGAAUGGGCACUGUUUGAGGCAGGAAUUUGCUGUUCAGUUUCCUUGACAGCACCGGCAACAGAUAUUUCGCUAGUCUGACCAGCUGUAAAGAAUGUCCACAGGUAUUAAACAAGAAUAGACCAUAAAGCUAAUUAAGGGCGUCAUAAUGUUUAAUACGUAAUGUUAUGCGAGGAACCACUUGAAGGCAUAUUUAAAGAUAUCUUAGUAAAGCUUUGAUUAUUUUGAAAGUAAUCUAUUUCCAAUCGGAAUAAACUGUGAAGAAACUAAGACACCAACAAGUACCAAUUAUAAGCGAAAGCAUGACGACACCGUGCCAGAAUAUACGGGCUGUGGGUAUGGAUAUCCGAAGGAGAAGGCAAACGUUGACAAUAAGCUGAAUGAGAUGGAGGUCUUCCCCUGGAGAGCUUCCCCUGGACUGUUAUCAUAUCAAAUAAUGAGAUCUUUCUGGGAUCUGGAUCUCUGAUUACACCAAAGUUUGAGCUAACGGCUGCCAGCAUAUUGAUUGAUCUGGAGAGCGACACUCUUUAUGUGCAUGCGGGCGAAUGGAAUAUUACGAGCAUCACUGAGAAAUAUUCGCAUCAAACUAAUGAAGUGGAAUAAAUAAUAAGGCACAAGAAUUACGACGGUGGACUGGGCAAUAAUGUGGCCCUACUCAUUGCCGACUUGGACUUCGUCUUUCAGCCGAACAUUCGAACUCUCUGUCUGCCCGUUCUGGGUACAACAUUCGAUUACAGCACCUGCA